rnacentral:rRNA from 1 species
CCUACGGGGGGCAGCAGUGGGGAAUAUUGGGCAAUGGAGGAAACCCUGACCCAGCAACGCCGCGUGAAUGAUGAAGGUCUUCGGAUUGUAAAGUUCUUUUCUAAGGGAAGAAGAAAGUGACGGUACCUUAGGAAUAAGCCUCGGCUAACUACGGGCCAGCAGCCGCGGUAAUACGUAGGAGGCAAGCGUUAUCCGGAAUGACUGGGCGUAAAGGGUGCGUAGGUGGGUUGAUAAGUUGGUAGCGUAACUCCGAGGCUCAACCUCGGCACUACUACCAAAACUGUCGGACGUGAGUGCAGGAGGGGCAAGUGGAAUUCCUGGUGUAGCGGUGAAAUGCGUAGAUAUUAGGAGGAACACCAGUGGCGAAGGCGAGUUGCUGGACUGUAACUGACACUGAGGCGCGAAAGCGUGGGGAGCAAACAGGAUUAGAUACCCGAGUAGUC